AUGAACGCUGGCGGCGUGCCUAAUACAUGCAAGUCGAGCGAACAGACGAGGAGCUUGCUCCUCUGACGUUAGCGGCGGACGGGUGAGUAACACGUGGAUAACCUACCUAUAAGACUGGGAUAACUUCGGGAAACCGGAGCUAAUACCGGAUAAUAUAUUGAACCGCAUGGUUCAAUAGUGAAAGACGGUUUUGCUGUCACUUAUAGAUGGAUCCGCGCCGCAUUAGCUAGUUGGUAAGGUAACGGCUUACCAAGGCAACGAUGCGUAGCCGACCUGAGAGGGUGAUCGGCCACACUGGAGCUGAGACACGGUCCAGACUCCUACGGGAGGCAGCAGUAGGGAAUCUUCCGCAAUGGGCGAAAGCAUGACGGAGCAACGCCGCGUGAGUGAUGAAGGUCUUCGGAUCGUAAAACUCUGUUAUUAGGGAAGAACAAAUGUGUAAGUAACUAUGCACGUCUUGACGGUACCUAAUCAGAAAGCCACGGCUAACUACGUG
rnacentral:rRNA from 1 species